rnacentral:rRNA from 1 species
UACGUAGGGGGCAAGCGUUGUCCGGAUUUAUUGGGCGUAAAGAGCGUGUAGGCGGUUUGGUAGGUCCGUUGUGAAAACUCGGGGCUCAACCUCGGGCUUGCAGUGGAUACGGGCAGACUAGAGUGCGGUAGGGGAGACUGGAAUUCCUGGUGUAGCGGUGGAAUGCGCAGAUAUCAGGAGGAACACCGAUGGCGAAGGCAGGUCUCUGGGCCGCAACUGACGCUGAGGAGCGAAAGCAUGGGGAGCGAACAGG